rnacentral:rRNA from 1 species
UGGCGAACGGGUGAGUAACACGUGGGCAACCUGCCCAAAAGAGGGGGAGUAACACUUGGAAACAGGUGCUAAUACCGCAUAACCAUAGUUACCGCAUGGUAACUAUGUAAAAGGUGGCUAUGCUACCGCUUUUGGAUGGGCCCGCGGCGCAUUAGCUAGUUGGUGGGGUAAAGGCUUACCAAGGCAAUGAUGCGUAGCCGAACUGAGAGGUUGAUCGGCCACAUUGGGACUGAGACACGGCCCAAACUCCUACGGAAGGCAGCAG